rnacentral:tRNA from 1 species
GUUAGUGUAGCUUAAUAUCAAAGCAAGGCACUGAAAAUGCCUAGAUGAGUCCCCCCACUCCACAAACA